UAGAUUUCGAAUUUAGAAUCUUUCCUCCACGUGACAGACUGUACCAUAAAAUCCCAAGAUUUUAUAAGAGCUUCACAGUGGAAAAAAUCUGCAGAUUUUGCAUGGCAUCCAGGACUGAUACAUAACACCUAGAGAUGGAUUCUCAUGAUUUUUAAGAGUAGGAAGCAGAUAUUAGAAAAAUCACAGUGACUUCAAAGCUAUGCUCAGUUGAAGAUUUGCUUAGUUGUCUCAGAAAUACUUUUCUGAGAAGAUGCAACAGAUGAUGCAACAGAAAUGUGUUGAAGAUGAAGGUGUCUCUGUUAAUGGAGGUGCUGUGAAACAUCUAUAGAUAUCACUAAAAAAAUCACUUUAUCUAAACCAAUACUCUGUUUCAAAUUAAUAACAUCAUUUAUAAUGUACAGUAUAUAUAUUUUGCCUUAUAUUUUUUGUUGUAUUAUUUACAUUUCAGUAUUUUGUGCACACAGGAUGACCCUUUAUAUGUUUUAUUGUACUGUUUUUUCACUCUUUACCUGCACGAGACCUGAGGAAAAUGAGUAAAAAAAAAAUGAGUGAAUGCAUCAAUUAUUCAUAAUCUAACAAGUAAAAUGAAUAAAAAAAUUAAAAAAUAAAAUUGACAAAUCUAAAAAAAAAUUAUAAUUCAUAAAAUUGAAACAUUUUAUUGAUUUAACUUACUAAUAAAAUCUAAUUCUAAAUCUAAAUCUAAAAAAU